rnacentral:misc_RNA from 1 species
GAUGAAGAACGCAGCGAAAUGCGAUACGUAAUGUGAAUUGCAGAAUUCAGUGAAUCAUCGAAUCUUUGAACGCAUAUUGCGCUCUCUGGUAUUCCGGAGAGCAUGCUUGUUUGAGUAUCAGUAAACACCUCAACUUCCAUAUCUUUUUUGAAAUGGGAGUUGGACUUGAGUGAUCCCAACGCUUUUCCUCACCGAAAAGUGGCGGGUUACUUGAAAUGCAGGUGCAGCUGGACUUUUCUCUGAGCUAUAAGCAUAUCUAUUUAGUCUGCCUAAAAAACAGAUUAUUACCUUUGCUGCAGCUAACAUAAAGGUGAUUAGUUCUUGUGCUGACUGAUGCAGGAUUCACAAAGACGGCUUCGGCCGACUUUGUAAACUCGAUCUCAAAUCAAGUAAGACUACCCGCUGAACUUAAGCAUAUCAAUAAGCGGAGGA